UCCGGUUUGAACUCAGAUCAUGUGCGGGGUAGAGGUCGAACAGACCUUGUGAAAAUAGCUUCUGCACUAUUUGUAGCCGCAAUUCAACAUCGAGGUCGCAAACAAUUAUUUUAAUAAGGGCUUAAAUAAUUAUAACGCUGUUAUCCCUAGAGUACCUUAUUCGUCUAAUUUAAUAAAGAUCAUUGUUAAUAUAAAUAGUCCUAUUUAAAUUUACCCCAAAUAAACUUGU
rnacentral:rRNA from 1 species